GAAUGUGUCGAUGUUCGAUGGGAUCCAUUGUUUCAUUCAUAAUCAUUUAUUCGUCUUGACAUUGAUAAUCAGAUUAUGGGUGAAACAAACUGCGCAAGACAAUGUGUCGAAGUUCGAUGGGAUCCAUUGUUUCAUUCAUUAUCAUUUAUUUGUAUUGGCAUAACAGACUGCGCAAGAGACGGUUUCCUUCUAGUUACUCAGUCUGACGAAUUUAAUUUAACCAGUGCAGCACUGAGACUGUCAAAUUGCAAUGAAGACUAACUUACGGUUAGUAAACCUGCCCUUUAGUUAGUUCUUUUUAUCUAUAACCCAAGGUAAAAACUGGUACCUUUAUUUAUGAGAAGGUUUCAUGCAUAAAAACGACGAUGUCGAUAAGUUAGGUUAAGUAUGCAUUAGUGGUCAUUUCACAUUGCUAGCUGGUAUGUUCUCUGACAUUGUUUUAGUUUCUCUAUCAUAUCAUGGCUGUUGAAAUGAGAAGUUUCCACUAGAGAUACAAAUUUUGCGCCCCAUAUCUGUCAAUAAACUGGUCGUUUAAGAUAAGAAUUUAGAUUGAUGCUUCGGAGACAGAUUUUUGAUCCCUUUACCAGUUGUAGAUCGAGGCAUACAGAUUUUUCAAGUGUGUGCUUUUUAGUCCCCCAUCUACGAAGUCGAAGUUGAAGUAAGGCUUGCACUCUAUCCGUCUGUCCGUCUGUCUGUCCAUCUGUUAGCUCGGCAAAUCAGUUUUCCAGAUUUUUUCUUCAUGCUUGAAGAUAUUAAUUUGAUAUUUGGUGUAUUGUUCUAUCCUGACAAGUUACAGACCAAGUUAGAUUUUCAAAGCUUUUCUCCUUGUUUAGAUAAAGCCUAGAAUUACAAUUUUGAUGAAAUACUUUUUAAUUACUAGAUUUCAGUUCAAAGGAAAAUAACUAAAUUUUUAACUUUCCUUAUAUAUAGCUAAAAUUACAUUUUUUAAUGAAAUACUUAUUAAUUGCUAG
rnacentral:lncRNA from 1 species